UAGUAUCAGCGUGUCAGCCGCCGCGGUAAUACGAAGGGGGCUAGCGUUGCUCGGAAUUACUGGGCGUAAAGGGAGCGUAGGCGGACAUUUAAGUCAGAGGUGAAAUCCCGGAGCUUAACUUCGGAACUGCCUUUGAUACUGGGUGUCUUGAGUGUGAGAGAGGUAUGUGGAACUCCGAGUGUAGAGGUGAAAUUCGUAGAUAUUCGGAAGAACACCAGUGGCGAAGGCGACAUACUGGCUCAUUACUGACGCUGAGGCUCGAAAGCGUGGGGAGCAAACAGGAUUAGAUACCCUGGUAGUCCACGCCGUAAACGAUGAUUGCUAGUUGUCGGGAAGCUUGCUUCUCGGUGACGCAGCUAACGCAUUAAGCAAUCCGCCUGGGGAGUACGGUCGCAAGAUUAAAACUCAAAGGAAUUGACGGG
rnacentral:rRNA from 1 species